UUGGUGCUGCUUUGCUGAGUCCUGACCCCACUUCAGGUGCUGGUACUAGACCUGCCGAUUGCAGUGGCCCUUUCCACACAGCCUCGGGGACACAGGCAGCCCCUGACACAAGGCCCCUGACAUGGCUGGCAGACCAGCAACCCGGUGAGCAGGGCUGUGGUGGGGAGGGCAGCACAGGGAAGCAGGGCAGGAGGCUGCUCCUUUCAUUCCUUCCCCCCUGCCUUGCAGAUGGACAGCCCAAAACAAAUGCCACCAGAUGACACAAAAUGCUGGAGCUCAGCCCUCCAAACUGGUUUCCUCCAAAGAAGUGCUGGCACCACACCACCUGACUGCAGUGGCCGUGUCAACGUGGCAUUGCUGACACAGUGAGCCACAAAUGGACAAGGAAACCAUUUUAGAGCAGCAACCCGGUGAGCAGGGCUGUGCAGGAGAGGGCAGCACAGGGAAGCAGGGCAGGAGGCUGCUCUUCUUGUACCUCCCCUCUGCCUUGCAGAUGGACAGACCAACACAAAUGGCACCAGAUGACCCAAAGUGAUGCAGCUCAGCCCUCCAAACUGGUGCCCUCCAAAAAAGAUAAGUCAGAUCCAUACUGUAGCCUGUCAUGCUCCUACAGCAUCAUGAAAGCUCCCAAAAAUCCCGCAGCCCACACGCCAACAUUUCGAGCUGCUUUGCUGAGUCCUGGCCCACUGCAGGUGCUGGCACCACACCACAUUAAAUGCAGAGGCCCCUUCCACACAGCACUGGGGACACGCAGCCCCAGACAGCACUGGAAACGGCUGGCAAACCAGCAACCCGGUGAGCAGGGCUGUGCAGGGGAGGGCAGCACAGGGAAGCAGGGCAGGAGGCUGCUCCUUUCAUUCCUUCCCCUCUGCCUUGCAGAUGGACAGCCCAACACAAAUGGCUCCAGAUGACCCAAAGUGCUGGAGCUCAGCCCUCCAAACUGGUGUCCAUCAGAAAAGAUAAGUCAGCUCCAUACUAUAGCCUGUCAUGCUCCUACAGCAUCACGGAAGCUCCCAAAAAUCCCCCAGCCCUCACCCCAACGUUUCGAGCUGCUUUGCUGAGUCCUGACCCCACUGCAGGUGUUGGCACCACACCACCUGAUUGCAGUGGCACUGCUGAUACAAUGAGCCCCAAAUGGCCAAGGAAACCAUUUUCAGUCCAGCAAACAGGUGAGCAGGGCUGUGCAGGGGAGGGCAGCACAGGGAAGCAGGGCAGGAGGCUGCUCCUUUCUUCCUUCCUUUCCCUCUGCCUUGCAGAUGGGCAUCCGCACCAAGAUGGAACCAGAGCAGGACACACAUCUGUCCUCAGUUCUCUGUCUGGCCUCCGUGCCACACAGGACAGAUAAGUCAGCCUCAAACAGUGCCCUUUAUAGGGACACUGAAAGCUCCCCAUCAUUCCCCUUGCCCUACCCCAACUUUUGGUGCUGCUUUGCUGAGUUCUGGCCCCACUUCAUGUGCUGGUACAGGACCUGCUGAUUGCAGUGGCCUUUUCCACAGCGGCUUGGAGACAUAGGCAGCCCCAAUGGCCCUUGACAUGGCUGGCAGAGCAGCAACGUGGUGAGCAGGGCUGUGCAGAGGAGGGCAGCACAGGGAAACAGGGCAGGAGGCUGCUCCUUUCUUCCUUCCUCUCUGCCUUGCAGACAGACAUCUGGACACAUACAGAAUCAAAGCACUGCAGCCUCUGCCCAACAACCCAUGUCUGCACCUGGCCAAGGCACUGACCGAAGCACGAAGAAAGCACCUGCCCUGUUCUGCACUGCUCUGCACUCCUACAGGCAGCCUGAGGAUCCACAAUGCAUGGACAGUGGCAGCUCCCCAGCACCUCCCAGCUACAGACCCCACCACAGACCUACACACACACGGAUGCUCUUGAGGACAAAGGCAGCUGCUCUACACUCACUUCGUCUUCAUUUGAAGCUGAUCAGAGCAUCUAAAAAAUUAAAAUAACCUUUAAAACA